UAUCUCUGUAGAGUCUGCAUAUCAAUAAGCGGAGGAAAAGAAACUAACAAGGAUUCCCCUAGUAACGGCGAGUGAAGCGGGAAGAGCUCAAAUUUGAAAUCUUCAAGGUUUGACCUUGACGAAUUGUAGUUUAAAGAAGUGUUUUCGGUUAGAGGAGUGGUAAAAGUUCUUUGGAAUAGGACAUCAUAGAGGGUGAGAAUCCCGUAUUUGACCAUUCUUUCUAGCUUUGUGAUACACUUUCAAAGAGUCGGAUUGUUUGGGAAUGCAGUCCAAAAUGGGUGGUAAAUUUCAUCUAAAGCUAAAUAUUGGCGAGAGACCGAUAGCGAACAAGUACCGUGAGGGAAAGAUGAAAAGAACUUUGAAAAGAGAGUUAAACAGUACGUGAAAUUGUCAAAAGGGAAGCGUUUGACACCAGUGUUGUUUUUCCGAAAAUCAAUUAAAAAUGGAUUCAUGCUAAGUUGUAUUGACCUUAUCAGCUUGCAAUUUAGUUUUGGGUUUCUUUUUGAUGCACUUUUCGGUUAACAAGUCAACAUCAAUUUCCUUUGCUGUAAAAAGGCAGGAGGAAGGUGGCUUCAAUUUCGGUUGAAGUGUUUAUAGCCUUCUGUCUCUGCAGUCGGGGAGAUUGAGGUCUGCAGCGUAGAUCCUUCGGGGCUAGAUACAUUCGUGCUAAGUUAUAGCCUUUUAUAGACAACUUGUUGACUAUGAUUGGUCUUGUAAUUUACUCGCGAGUGCUAUUUUACCUACGCUUAGGAUGUUGAUCUACAGAGCGAGAGU
rnacentral:rRNA from 1 species